UGAGUACGAGAUGCUACGGCAUCGAAGCAGUCUAUGUCAUACUUCCAAGAAAAGCUUGCACUGUCAUAAACAAAGAAUGCCUGUACCAUAACCGACACAGGUGGGUAGGUAGAGUAUACUAAGGGGCGCGAGAUAACUCUCUCUAAGGAACUCGGCAAAAUGACUCCGUAACUUCGGGAGAAGGAGUGCCUUAUUUCUAAGGUUGCAAUAACAAGAUCCAAGCAACUGUUUACCAAAAACACAGGUCUCCGCUAAGUCGUAAGACGAUGUAUGGGGGCUGACGCCUGCCCAGUGCCAGAAGGUUAAAGAAGUUGGUUAGCAUUAGCGAAGCUGAUAACUGAAGCCCUGGUGAACGGCGGCCGUAACUAUAACGGUCCUAAGGUAGCGAAAUUCCUUGUCGGGUAAGUUCCGACCCGCACGAAAGGCGUAAUGAUUUGGAUACUGUCUCGGAGAGGGGCUCGGUGAAAUAGACUUGUCUGUGAAGAUGCGGACUACCUGCACCUGGACAGAAAGACCCUAUGAAGCUUUACUGUAACUUGAGAUUGAAAUUGGACUUUAUUUGCGCAGUAUAGGUGGGAGGCGUUGAGAAUAAUCUUGCGGGAUUGUUGGAGCCAUCAGUGAGAUACCACUCUUGUAAUGUUAGAUUUCUAACUUUGUAUCAUUAUCUGGUCAAAGAACAGUUUCAGGCGGGCAGUUUGACUGGGGCGGUCGCCUCCCAAAGGGUAACGGAGGCGCACAAAGGUUUCCUCUGAACGGGUAGAAAUCGUAUCUAGAGUGUAAAGGCAUAAGGAAGCUUGACUGUGAGACCUACAAGUCGAGCAGGGACGAAAGUCGGUCUUAGUGAUCUGACGGUGCUGAGUGGAAAGGCCGUCACUCAACGGAUAAAAGUUACUCUAAGGAUAACAGGCUGAUCUCCCCCAAGAGUUCACAUCGACGGGGAGGUUUGGCACCUCGAUGUCGGCUCAUCGCAUCCUGGGGCGGUAGUCCGUCCCAAGGGUUGGGCUGUUCGCCCAUGAAAGCGGUACGCGAGCUGGGUUCAGAACGUCGUGAGACAGUUCGGUCCAUAUCCGGUGUAGGCGUUAGAAUAUUGAGAGGAGCCUUCUCUAGUACGAGAGGACCGAGAAGGACAUACCUCUGGUGUACCAGUUAUCGUGCCAACGGUAAACGCUGGGUAGCUAUGUAUGGAGUGGAUAACCGCUGAAAGCAUCUAAGUGGGAAGCCCACCUCAAGAUAAGUAUUCUCA
rnacentral:rRNA from 1 species